rnacentral:rRNA from 1 species
GACGAACGCUGGCGGCGUGCCUAAUACAUGCAAGUAGAACGCUGAAGGAGGAGCUUGCUCUUCUGGAUGAGUUGCGAACGGGUGAGUAACGCGUAGGUAACCUGCCUGGUAGCGGGGGAUAACUAUUGGAAACGAUAGCUAAUACCGCAUAACAGUAGAUGUUGCAUGACAUUUGCUUAAAAGGUGCAAUUGCAUCACUACCAGAUGGACCUGCGUUGUAUUAGGUAGUUGGUGGGGUAACGGCUCACCAAGGCGACGAUACAUAGCCGACCUGAGAGGGUGAUCGGCCAAACUGGGACUGAGACACGGCCCAGACUCCUACGGGAGGCAGCAGGAGGGAAUCUUCGGAAAUGGACGGAAGUCUGACCGAGCAACGCCGCGUGAGUGAAGAAGGUUUUCGGAUCGUAAAGCUCUGUUGUAAGAGAAGAACGAGUGUGAGAGUGGAAAGUUCACACUGUGACGGUAUCUUACCAGAAAGGGACGGCUAACUACGUG